ensembl:lncRNA novel transcript
CAUACACACAUCUUUUCAUCCAUCACUCCUCCACUAUCUGUGUAUCUACUCAUCCACCAUCUACUCUUACACUUAUCCAUCCAUGCAUGGAUUCAUCCAUCUGUCCAUGUUACAAACAUUUAUUGAGCAAUACACCAGACAUCAUACUAGGCUCUGGGAGUAGACUGAUGAGCCCUCAGGGUGCUUCCAGUCUACUGGGGAGACAGAAAGGAAAAUAAACAAGUACGGGGUGGUAAGUUCUCUGAUUAGGUAGAGUGAGGGGAGAUGCACGAGGAACAAGCAAAGGCACCUUGCUCAGACCUGGGCACCUAGGAAGGCUUCCCACAAAAGCUGCAUCUGAAGGAUGAAUAUGAGGUGGACAGGCAAAGGAAUGGGGACAGGCAAACAACAUGUGCGGCAAAGAGACCAGCCCAUGCAAAGACACAGAGCUGCAAGAUAAACAGCUCACCUGGAAUGCAGCAUGUGAAGCGAGGAGAGGGCUUGGGACACCUGCUGUCCUGC